GUGCCAGCCGCCGCGGUAAUACCGGCAGCCCGAGUGAUGGCCGAUCUUAUUGGGCCUAAAGCGUCCGUAGCUGGCUGCGCAAGUCCGUCGGGAAAUCCACUCGCCCAACGAGUGGGCGCCCGGUGGAAACUCCACACCUUGGGACCGGAAGGCUCGAAGGGUACGGCCGGGGUAGGAGUGAAAUCCUGUAAUCCCGUCCGGACCACCGAUGGCGAAAGCACUUCGAGAAAACGGAUCCGACAGUGAGGGACGAAAGCUGGGAUCUCGAACCGGAUUAGAAACCCUUGUAGUCC
rnacentral:rRNA from 1 species